GAAAUGCGAUAAGUAAUGUGAAUUGCAGAAUUCAGUGAAUCAUCGAAUCUUUGAACGCACAUUGCGCCCUCUGGUAUUCCGGAGGGCAUGCCUGUUCGAGCGUCAUUAUAACCACUCAAGCCUAGCUUGGUAUUGGGGUUCGCCAGCCCGGCGGCCCUUAAACUCAGUGGCGGUGCCGUCUGGCUCUACGCGUAGUAAUACUCCUCGCGAUAGGGUCCGGUCGGUUGCUUGCCAACAACCCCCAAUUUUUUCAGGUUGACCUCGGAUCAGGUAGGGAUACCCGCUGAACUUAA
rnacentral:misc_RNA from 1 species